rnacentral:rRNA from 1 species
UACGGAGGGUGCGAGCGUUGUCCGGAAUCACUGGGCGUAAAGGGCGCGUAGGCGGCCCGUCAAGCGUGUGGUGAAAGCCCGGGGCUCAACCCCGGGUCGGCCGUGCGGACUGGCGGGCUCGAGCACUGUAGGGGCGGGUGGAAUUCCGGGUGUAGCGGUGGAAUGCGUAGAGAUCCGGAAGAACACCGGUGGCGAAGGCGGCCUGCUGGGCAGUUGCUGACACUGAGGCACGAAGGCCAGGGGAGCAAACGGG